GACGAACGCUGGCGGCGUGCCUAAUACAUGCAAGUAGAACGCUGAAGGAGGAGCUUGCUUCUCUGGAUGAGUUGCGAACGGGUGAGUAACGCGUAGGUAACCUGCCUGGUAGCGGGGGAUAACUAUUGGAAACGAUAGCUAAUACCGCAUAAUAGUAGAUGUUGCAUGACAUUUGCUUAAAAGGUGCAAUUGCAUCACUACCAGUUGGACCUGCGUUGUAUUAGCUUGGGGGAGGGGUAACGGCUCACCAAGGCGAGGAUACAUAGCCGAACGGAGAGGGGGAUCGGCCACACUGGGACGGAGACAGGGACCAGACGCCUACGGGAGGCAGCAGUAGGGAAUCUGCGGCAAUGGACGGAAGUCUGACCGAGCAACGCCGCGUGAGUGAAGAAGGUUUUCGGUGCGUAAAGCUCUGUUGUAAGAGAAGAACGAGUGUGAGAGUGGAAAGUGCACACGGGGACGGUAUCUUACAAGAAGGAGCGGGCUAAUUACGUG
rnacentral:rRNA from 1 species